AUGGAUAGCUUAUUUGUUUUAUUGUAUAUACUUUGUAGUUUCAAUGAUGAGACAUAUAUGUCAACUAUGGGUGUUGGCUCCAACAAUUCUCAUUGGUCUCAAACAAAUGAUGUGCAUUUAGAUGAUCAUGAGUUUGAGGUGGACGAGGAUGGUGAGGGUAUCGUUGAUGCACCGAAAGGAAGAUCGGGAAACUACAUGGACAAAGACAUCUUGCUAAGCAAUACAUGUUUGAAAGUGUCUAGGGAUGCCAUUGUUGUAGGGGAUCAAGUAGAGAUGCAUAUUGGAUCCGGAUGA
rnacentral:rRNA from 1 species